rnacentral:rRNA from 1 species
GAUGAACGCUGGCGGCGUGCCUAAUACAUGCAAGUCGAGCGAACGGACGAGAAGCUUGCUUUUCUGAUGUUAGCGGCGGACGGGUGAGUAACACGUGGAUAACCUACCUAUAAGACUGGGAUAACUUCGGGAAACCGGAGCUAAUACCGGAUAAUAUUUUGAACCGCAUGGUUCAAAAGUGAAAGACGGUCUUGCUGUCACUUAUAGAUGGAUCCGCGCUGCAUUAGCUAGUUGGUAAGGUAACGGCUUACCAAGGCAACGAUGCAUAGCCGACCUGAGAGGGUGAUCAGCCACACUGGAACAGAGACACGGUCCAGACUACUACGGGAGGCAGCAGUAGGGAAUCUUCCGCAAUGGGCGAAAGCCUGACGGAGCAACGCCGCGUGAGUGAUGAAGGUCUUCGGAUCGUAAAACUCUGUUAUUAGGGAAGAACAUAUGUGUAAGUAACUGUGCACAUCUUGACGGUACCUAAUCAGAAAGCCACGGCUAACUACGUG